rnacentral:ribozyme from 1 species
UGCAUGCCCAUCGCCUAAGCACGCCGCCCAAAAGAAAGAAAGAAAGAAGCGCGUGAUGGAUCUGGAUGAUCAUGCACUCUCCAUCACUCCCUCCCCUGCUCUCCGCUCCCCCUC